rnacentral:rRNA from 1 species
UACGUAGGGCGCAAGCGUUGUCCGGAAUUAUUGGGCGUAAAGGGUGCGUAGGUGGCGGGGCAAGUCAGGUGUGAAAUCUCGGGGCUCAACCCCGAAACUGCACUUGAUACUGCUUUGCUCGAGUACUGGAGAGGAGACUGGAAUUUACGGUGUAGCAGUGAAAUGCGUAGAUAUCGUAAGGAAGACCAGUGGCGAAGGCGAGUCUCUGGACAGUUACUGACACUGAGGCACGAAGGCCAGGGGAGCAAACGGG